GAUGAACGAGGGGGGAGGGGAACAUACAUGCAAGUCGAGUGGGUUUAGACCCACGGCAAACGGGUGAGUAACACGUAGGUACUUUCCUUGUCACAGGAAUAACCCUCCGAAAGGAGGGCUAAUACCUGAUGUGAUCGCAAGAUUAAAGGGUAUCCGCAAGGAUUACCGGACAAGAAGAGGCCUGCGGCCUAUCAGCUAGUUGGCGGGGUAAAUGCCCACCAAGGCUAUGACGGGUAGCUGGUCUUAUGAGGCUGAUCAGUCACAUGGGCACUGAGACACGGGCCCAACUCCUACGGGAGGCAGCAGUAGGGAAUUUUGCGCAAUGGGCGAAAGCCUGACGCAGCGACGCCGCGUGCGGGAUGAAGGCCUUCGGGUCGUAAACCGCUUUUAUAAGGGACGAACUUUGACGGUACCUUAUGAAUAAGAGGUUGCUAACUCUGUG
rnacentral:rRNA from 1 species